GGCUUUGGAGUAAAUUUACAGUAUGGUCAUUGGGGCAGAGAUAAGAGUCUGUAGCCCUUUUGAUGUGAGAGAAAAACUAAUUGUUAAAGUGGGACAAACAGAGAAAUCCCUGAAAUUGACUCCUUUAGACACUCUUUCCUUUCUACCGUGAGAAAUCUCCCAUUUUCUCUGUGUCUAUUCCAGACUGUCUUUGAGGAAUCCUUCCCUUCUGUUUAGCUUCAUAGAUACAGUGUUGAAUUGACUUUAUCUAACCAAGUUCUUUCAAAUGAUUUUUAAAACCAGGUGGUAUAAACGGCAUUGUCUGAAACACAGGAUCCUGAAGAGGUCUCAGUCACUGUCAAGGCCUUCAUGACAGCUGACCUGCCUAAAGAACUGAUUGAGCUGCUGGAAAAGAUUGUUCUGGGUAACUCUGUCUUCAGUGAGCACAGAGUGGCUGUAUCAUUUUGCAUUCCCAGCAGCAAUGUGUGAGAAUUCCAGUUGCUCUGCAUCUUCACCAGCACUUGAGCCUCCAGUAUAAAGUUGAAGUGAAGUGGUGACAGUGGACAUCCUUGUCUUGUUCCUGAUUCUGGGGGCAGCAUCCAGUCGCUCACCAUUGAGUAUGAUGUUAGCUGUGGGUUUUUUGUAGAUGUCCUUUGUCAGAUUAAAGAAGUUCCCUUCUAUUUCUAGUUUGCUGAGAGUUUUUAUCAUUAAUGGAUGUUGAAUUUUGUCAGAUGCUUUUUCUGAAUCAAUUGAUU